UGGGGAAUUUUGGACAAUGGGCGAAAGCCUGAUCCAGCAAUGCCGCGUGUGUGAAGAAGGCCUUCGGGUUGUAAAGCACUUUUGUCCGGAAAGAAAUCCUUGGCUCUAAUACAGUCGGGGGAUGACGGUACCGGAAGAAUAAGCACCGGCUAACUACGUGCCAGCAGCCGCGGUAAUACGUAGGGUGCAAGCGUUAAUCGGAAUUACUGGGCGUAAAGCGUGCGCAGGCGGUUUGCUAAGACCGAUGUGAAAUCCCCGGGCUCAACCUGGGAACUGCAUUGGUGACUGGCAGGCUAGAGUAUGGCAGAGGGGGGUAGAAUUCCACGUGUAGCAGUGAAAUGCGUAGAGAUGUGGAGGAAUACCGAUGGCGAAGGCAGCCCCCUGGGCAAUACUGACGCUCAUGCACGAAAGCGUGGGGAGCAAACAGGAUUAGAUACCCUGGUAGUCCACGCCCUAAACGAUGUCAACUAGUUGUUGGGGAUUCAUUUCCUUAGUAACGUAGCUAACGCGUGAAGUUGACCGCCUGGGGAGUACGGUCGCAAGAUUAAAACUUAAAUGAAUUGACGGGGUCAUAGCUGUUUCCU
rnacentral:rRNA from 1 species